rnacentral:rRNA from 1 species
AGAGUUUGAUCAUGGCUCAGAUUGAACGCUGGCGGCAGGCCUAACACAUGCAAGUCGAACGGUAACAGGAAGCAGCUUGCUGCUUCGCUGACGAGUGGCGGACGGGUGAGUAAUGUCUGGGAAACUGCCUGAUGGAGGGGGAUAACUACUGGAAACGGUGGCUAAUACCGCAUAACGUCGCAAGACCAAAGAGGGGGACCUUCGGGCCUCUUGCCAUCAGAUGUGCCCAGAUGGGAUUAGCUUGUUGGUGAGGUAACGGCUCACCAAGGCGACGAUCCCUAGCUGGUCUGAGAGGAUGACCAGCCACACUGGAACUGAGACACGGUCCAGACUCCUACGGGAGGCAGCAGUGGGGAAUAUUGCACAAUGGGCGCAAGCCUGAUGCAGCCAUGCCGCGUGUAUGAAGAAGGCCUUCGGGUUGUAAAGUACUUUCAGCGGGGAGGAAGGUGUUGCGGUUAAUAACCGCAGCAAUUGACGUUACCCGCAGAAGAAGCACCGGCUAACUCCGUGCCAGCAGCCGCGGUAAUACGGAGGGUGCAAGCGUUAAUCGGAAUUACUGGGCGUAAAGCGCACGCAGGCGGUCUGUCAAGUCGGAUGUGAAAUCCCCGGGCUCAACCUGGGAACUGCAUUCGAAACUGGCAGGCUUGAGUCUUGUAGAGGGGGGUAGAAUUCCAGGUGUAGCGGUGAAAUGCUUCAGAUCUGGCGGAAUACCGGUGGCGAAGGCGGCCCCCUGGACAAAGACUGACGCGCAGGUGCGAAAGCGGGGGAGGCAAGCAUGAUUAGAUACCCUGAUAGUCCGCUCCGGAAACGAUGUCUACUUGGAGGUUGUGCCCUUGAGGCGUGGCUUCCGGAGCUAACGCGUUAAGUAGACCGCCAGGGGGGUACGGCCGCAAGGUUAAAAC